rnacentral:lncRNA from 12 species
CUGGGAUAGAACAACCUGCUGAGGGCCCAUUACUCUACUCAGCACCCCCAUGUGAACAUCAUUUCCAGAGCCUGGGCUCACAUUCUGGUUUCACCAACUGUUCACCACGUGACACCUUCCUAUUGCUGGAUGUCAAGCACCCCAAUUUCCUCCAUCUGUAAAUGGGGAUGCAGAAGGACGUCACUCAUAGAGUCAUCAAAAGGAUUGAAAAGGGUGAUGUUUGUAGAGCACUUGGCAGGUCCCUGGUCCAUUUAAUCUUUGAAAAUCCCUGUCACGCCAUGUAGAGAGGUUCUGAGCACCUGUUCCGGCCACAGUCUGGGGGAGUUUAGGUAAAAAGGAUCCAGUCCCAACUAUCAUCCAAUCUGGGAGACAGGUAUAAAUAGUCAGUGUGGCCCGUCCUGUGACAGCUCCACAGCCAGACCAGCCGGCUAGUAGGGCCCUACUAUGGUAAUGCCCUGCUGAGGGCAGGGCAAUGGGUGAUCGGGACGGGGCACCUCGCUGCCUCCCCAUACGUGAGAUGGGCAUGAGCGUCAUGUCAGCAGCGCCAAGGCUGUCGUGAGGGCUGGAAUGGGGCUUUGGAAACUAUAAAGGGCUGAGCGAAUGUGCACCUCCCUCUGUGUCCCGGCUCAGGAUAGCCAAGGCACCUAUCUGUUCCCAUGUAGACCUGGAGACGGGGAGGAAGGUGUGGAAAUCUGGGGGUGGGCAGGGUCUCUACUGAGACCCCAAAGGCAUGAACCACUAACUACCCCAAUCUCAGCUCCUCCGAGUUUCCCAAGGGCAGGUAUGGGAAAACAUGCUUGGAGGCACCCGUGGGAGUGGGGGAACCGGGCACCCACCACGUGGGCAGGGGACUCCUGAGCAGUGUGCGUGCCAUCUCCAGGCGGGCUGUGGACGGUGAGUGGCCAGGCCACUUUGGACCUGCAGGGUGGCCUUGGAGAGGCCAAGGAUGGGGUGGAGGAAGGCUACUCCCAGCUCUCCAAGGCCCGGGUUGGGGGCGCUGCUGGGGCCACGGAAGAGUAGUGAUGGGACAGCGAUGGGGCAGCGACCGGCUGUGGGGCUCUGGGCGCACCGCCACCGGAGUGGGACGCCCCUGGCGGUGGAGCCGGACUCUGGAGUCCCCGGAAUAGGGUGUGGAUGGACCCCAGCUCCCCAGCACCCGCCGCUCAAGUCUCCCCUGCGGCCCGGAGGCCCCGGGGGCUGCACCAGCACCAGAGCAAGUCCGAGGGCUGGACGGGGCUCCAUGACACAGAAGCCACAGGAGGUGCAAGUGCAAGGACACGCCCCCCCCCCCCUCACAUUGACAGGUAGGGAGGAUGCCAGCCCUGCUGUGGCACCCACAACCCCAGGCACGGGCCGGCCCAGCGAGGAAAGCUUGCACAGCCUUCUCAGUUGGGGUCACAGAACCCCACUUCCACUCACCCCUGACCUGGGCACCCAAGUCCCUUCCCCCGUGUCUAAGUCCAAACAUGUCUCCUGA